rnacentral:rRNA from 1 species
AGAUAUCAGCAAUGAUGUCUUAGCGGCGGACGGGUGAGUAACGCGUGGGCAACCUGCCUUUUACAGGGGGAUAACACUGGGAAACUAGUGCUAAUACCGCAUAACGUACCGAAGUGGCAUCACUAUGGUACCAAAGGAGAAAUCCGGUAAAAGAUGGGCCCGCGUCCGAUUAGCUAGUUGGUGGGGUAGAGGCCUACCAAGGCGACGAUCGGUAGCCGAACUGAGAGGUUGAUCGGCCACAUUGGGACUGAGAUACGGCCCAGACUCCUACGGGAGGCAGCAGUGGGGAAUAUUGCGCAAUGGGGGAAACCCUGACGCAGCAACGCCGCGUGCGGGACGACGGCCUUCGGGUUGUAAACCGCUUUUCUGGGGGACGAGUAAGGACGGUACCUCAGGAAUAAGUCUCGGCUAACUACGUGCCAGCAGCCGCGGUAAAACGUAGGAGGCGAGCGUUAUCCGGAUUUACUGGGCGUAAAGCGCACGCAGGUGGCUUAGCAAGUCGGACAUGAAAGCUCCUGGCUUAACUGGGAGAGGUGGUUCGAAACUGCUGAGCUUGAGGUUGGGAGAGGGACGUGGAAUUCCCGGUGUAGUGGUGGAAUGCGUAGAUAUCGGGAGGAACACCAGUGGCGCAAGCGGCGUCCUGGGCUGCAUCUGACGCUCAGACACGAAAGCUAGGGGAGCAAACGGGAUUAGAAACCCCGGUAGUCCUAGCCGUAAACGAUGUAGACUGGGUGUUGGCGGGGUAAAAGCCGUCAGUGCCGGAGCUAACGC